UUGAGUUUGAUCAUGGCUCAGGACGAACGCUGGCGGUGCGCUUAAUGCCUGCAAGUCGAACGGUCUUGGCGACUUCGGUUGUCAGGAUACUGGCAGACGGCUGAGUAACACGUAAGUAACCUACCCCAAAGAGGGGGAUAAGCACAAGAAAUUGUGUCUAAUACCCCGUACGCUCCAGUGUUUAUUGGUGCUGGAGGAAAUGUGCCGAAAGGUAUGCUUAGGGAGGGGCUUGCGGCCUAUCAGGUAGUUGGUGGGGUAAUAGCCUACCAAGCCGAAGACGGGUACCCGGUGUGAGAGCAUGAACGGGCAGAGGGGGACUGAGACACGGCCCCCACUCCUACGGGAGGCAGCAGCAGGGAAUCUUGCGCAAUGGGCUUAUUGGCCUGACGUUUUUUUUCCGCGUGGAGGAAGAAGGUUUUCGGAUUGUAAACUCCUUUUCUUGGGGAAGAGUGAGGACGGUACCCAAGGAAUAAGCAUCGGCUAACUACGUGCCAGCAGCCGCGGUAA
rnacentral:rRNA from 1 species